CGUAUUUUGUAGUAACACCCUUUCAAAAUGACUUCCAAAACAGACACAACUUGCAAAAUAUUUUAAUUUCAAGACUACAAAUCAUCUCCCGACAUGAUUGUCUAAAUUGCUGCCGAAUGCUUACAAUCAACACCGGUCCCAAUGGUAAUAGAUAACCGGCCCUCCUUUGAAAAUAGCCGUUGAGCAUGCAAAGGGGACUAACUACAGUAGGCGCUCCGCGGCUUCUGCUCAAAUCAUUGGCGGCGAGGAUCAGAGGGACAGCUCGCAGUGAAUCCCAAAUCCGUAAUGGCAUCUCCAACCUCGAGCCCUUGCGAUGGCUCCUGAAAAGCCGGUUCGACCGAAAUGUGGUUGUAAACUUCGAGAUACAGGAGCUGCUGUUCGAUUCAGCCACCUCGGGAGUUGGCGCUGAUGUGCGGCGUAUAAGUUGUUCCACAUUUUCUUUGUUGACUGUCCUGUUGACUGUUGUGCCCUCUCACUCUUGAAUUCAAUUUACGCGUACAAAGGCUGGAUGCGUGUGAACGUGGGCGGGAGCCAGGUGGUGUCCUACCUCCAGCGUCUUUUCCAGCUGAAGUACACUGGUCACCUGGCGGCCGUCACCCUCUGCCUCAUAGAGCUGCUCCACAAACACAGCUACAGACUACCACCACGGUCUGCCUGCCAUGGGGCCAGAGAGAUGUAUUGAGAUUAGCUGGAGAAGUGGUGCAGUGCAGAGUUCUAAGAGCAGGAGGUGCAACGCAUGCAGCUGCCCUUCUCUGCCAUGGUUCUGGGCGGCGCGGUGAUUGUGGAGGAGAUGCAGGAGAGACGCGCCCAGCAACUGCGCAGGCUGCAGGAGAUAAACGGCUGGCGCAGGGAAGAGAUGCUGCAGCAGGACCAAGAGCGUCUGGAUAAACUAUUGGCCCCGCAGGGAAGAACCAUUAUCUUUUAACCACUUUGUCAACCAUGACCCUUAACUGCUGUGCAAUUCCACAGUCUCAGAAUUACGCAGAGUCCAAUUUCUCACUUAAAAUGUACUCCAAACAAAAAACAUUGAUUUCAAAGUUUAAUAAACCAUACAACCUUAUGCACAAGGACUAUGUUUAACAAUUUACACUGAACAUUUUACAAAAACACAUUUACUGGAAAAACUAUGCAGAUGCAAUGUUUGUUAACAGAAUUUCAUUAAAAUCUCCCUCCGUUUUUUAAUGUG